rnacentral:rRNA from 1 species
AACGAACGCUGGCGGCAGGCUUAACACAUGCAAGUCGAACGCACCUUUCGGGGUUAGUGGCAGACGGGUGAGUAACGCGUGGGAAUCUACCCUUCUCUACGGGAUAGCUCCGGGAAACUGGAAUUAAUACCGUAUACGUCCUGCGGGAUAAAGAUUUAUCGGGGAAGGAUGAGCCCGCGUUGGAUUAGCUAGUUGGUGGGGUAAAGGCCUACCAAGGCGACGAUCCAUAGCUGGUCUAAGAGGAUGAUCAGCGACAUUGGGACUGAGACACGGCCCAAACUCCUACGGGAGGCAGCAGUGGGGAAUAUUGGACAAUGGGCGCAAGCCUGAUCCAGCCAUGCCGCGUGAGUGAUGAAGGCCCUAGGGUUGUAAAGCUCUUUCAGUGGGGACGAUAAUGACGGUACCCACAGAAGAAGCCCCGGCUAACUUCGUG